AGCGAACGCUGGCGGCAGGCUUAACACAUGCAAGUCGAACGCCCCGCAAGGGGAGUGGCAGACGGGUGAGUAACGCGUGGGAAUCUACCCAGAUCUUCGGAACAACUGAGGGAAACUUCAGCUAAUACCGGAUACGCCCUACGGGGGAAAGAUUUAUCGGUUCUGGAUGAGCCCGCGUUGGAUUAGCUAGUUGGUGAGGUAAAGGCUCACCAAGGCGACGAUCCAUAGCUGGUCUGAGAGGAUGAUCAGCCACACUGGGACUGAGACACGGCCCAGACUCCUACGGGAGGCAGCAGUGGGGAAUAUUGGACAAUGGGCGAAAGCCUGAUCCAGCCAUGCCGCGUGAGUGAUGAAGGCCUUAGGGUUGUAAAGCUCUUUCAGUGGGGAAGAUAAUGACGGUACCCACAGAAGAAGCCCCGGCUGACUUCGUGCCAGCCGCCGCUGUAA
rnacentral:rRNA from 1 species